GAUGAACGCUAGCGGCAGGCCUAAUACAUGCAAGUCGAACGGUGUCUUCGGACAUAGUGGCGCACGGGUGCGUAACACGUAUGCAACCUACCUUACAUUGGGGGAUAGCCUUUCGAAAGGGAGAUUAAUACCGCAUAAGACAGUAGCUGGGCAUCCAGCAGCUGUUAAAGAUUUAUCGAUGUAAGCUGGGCAUGCGUCCAAUUAGCUAGUUGGUGAGGUAACGGCUCACCAAGGCAAUGAUUGGUAGGGGAACUGAGAGGUCAAUCCCCCACACUGGCACUGGGAUACGGGCCAGACUCCUACGGGAGGCAGCAGUAGGGAAUAUUGGGCAAUGGACGCAAGUCUGACCCAGCCAUGCCGCGUGCAGGAUGAAGGCGUUAUGCGUUGUAAACUGCUUUUAUACAGGAAGAAACGACUCAUGCGAGAGGCAUUGACGGUACUGUAUGAAUAAGCACCGGCUAACUCCGUGCCAGCAGCCGCCGUAAAAC
rnacentral:rRNA from 1 species